UGGCUCGUAGCUCAAUCGGAUAGAGCAGCUCCAUCUUAGGAGACCGUUGGAGGUUCGAAUCCUUCCGGGCCAA
rnacentral:tRNA from 5 species